CAGGCCGCCUCAGACCGGUUGUCCGUGGCACCCCUGGCGUAUUUGAUCGAGGUUGUGCUAGCGGCGCGGCUGUGUGAGGACUGACGGCUUCCAAGGCUGUUUCGAAUCACUCCUGUGAGCCCGGUGAGGAGAAUACUGACUGCUUGCCGGAGCUGUGUCGGGAGUGAGCCGUGGAAGGAGCCGGGUGAGGUGUUCGUGGAGGGGCCUCCCGAGAAGCUGAGGUGAAGAUAGAGGGGGGACUGCGCUGGACAAAGGAUGGGGGGGUUCCCGCCCUGCCCCCCACAGCAGCCGGCAACCAUCCGUCCCUUUGUGCAGAGCUCAGAAGGAAGGGCAGCAGCCUACCAGUGCAACUCUGAUUCUCUUUGCCACCUGAAGCCAAAACUUCAAGGAAAGCACAUUUUCUCCAGGAAAGGGACUUCUGAGCAAAGAAUGCAUUGAAAAGGGAGCAAAAAUAGCCCUCUGAGUCCUGCUUGAUCAUCAGUAGAGAAGAAACAACGUGGAUUUUCACAGGCAAGUGGAGGAGCUCAUCCAGGGUGAAGAUACUGAAGCAUCCAUGCAUCCCUGGAAGAAAUCCCAGUUGAUGAUGGUGGAUGACCAUCUUAAGUGAUACAAAGAAAGAGAAGGAUAUGAAAAUAGCUGGAUGAAGAGGAGGAGUAUUCAUAAAUGAACUUGAUAAAAUAUUGAUGUUUUCUCAUGUUUCACUGCUUCCCACCUAAAACAUCUAUGGAAGUGUUCCUUAUUUUUUGGAGAAAGCCUAUCUAAAAACUUAACUUCAAACUCUACUAGAAGAUCAGAAAUGUACAUCCUGUUGAGAUUUUCCACUCAGUAUGUAAUUUUU